ACGCUCGACACCUACGGGAGGCGGCAGUAGGGAAUCUUCCACAAUGGACGCAAGUCUGAUGGAGCAACGCCGCGUGAGUGAAGAAGGUCUUCGGAUCGUAAAACUCUGUUGUUAGAGAAGAACACGAGUGAGAGUAACUGUUCAUUCGAUGACGGUAUCUAACCAGCAAGUCACGGCUAACUACGUGCCANCAGCCGCGGUAAUCUGAGCGGGCUGGCAAGGC
rnacentral:rRNA from 1 species